AUUGAACGCUGGCGGCAGGCCUAACACAUGCAAGUCGAGCGGAGCGGCGGACGGGUGAGUAAUGCCUUGUAAUCUGCCUGUUAGUGUGGUAUAAAGUCCGGAAACGGGAGCUAAUACCGCAUACUAUCAGAUGAGUUUAGGUCGUAUUAGCUAGUUGGUGGGGUAAAGGCCUACCAAGGCGACGUUCCGUAACUGGUCUGAGAGGAUGAUCAGUCACACUGGAACUGAGACACGGACCAGACGCCUACGGGAGGCAGCAGUGGGGAAUAUUGGGCAAUGGGCGAAAGCCUGAUCCAGCCAUGCCGCGUGUGUGAAGAAGGUCUUCGGAUUGUAAAGCACGUUAAGUUGGGAGGCGUUACCAAAAGAAUAAGCAACGGCUAACUUCGUGACAGCAGCCGCGGUAAUAC
rnacentral:rRNA from 1 species